CUGGCUCAGGAUGAACGCUAGCGACAGGCUUAACACAUGCAAGUCGAGGGGCAGCAUAAAAGUAGCAAUACUUGGUGGCGACCGGCGCACGGGUGAGUAACGCGUAUGCAACCUACCUAUCAGAGGGGAAUAACCCGGCGAAAGUCGGACUAAUACCGCAUAAAACAGGGACACCGCAUGGUGAUAUUUGUUAAAGAAAUUCGCUGAUAGAUGGGCAUGCGUUCCAUUAGGUAGUUGGUGAGGUAACGGCUCACCAAGCCGACGAUGGAUAGGGGAACUGAGAGGUUGGUCCCCCACACUGGUACUGAGACACGGACCAGACUCCUACGGGAGGCAGCAGUGAGGAAUAUUGGUCAAUGGGUGAGAGCCUGAACCAGCCAAGUCGCGUGAAGGAAGAAAAGGAUCUAUGGUUCGUAAACUUCUUUUGCAGGGGGAUAGAGUGCAGGACGUGUCCUGUUUUGUAUGUACCCUGAGAAUAAGGAUCGGCUAACUCCGUGCCAGCAGCAGC
rnacentral:rRNA from 1 species